GACGUAGGGCGCGAGCGUUGUCCGGAUUUAUUGGGCGUAAAGAGCUCGUAGGCGGCUUGUCGCGUCGACCGUGAAAACUCGGGGCUUAACCCCGAGCCUGCAGUGGAUACGGGCAGACUAGAGGUAGGUAGGGGAGAAUGGAAUUCCCGGUGUAGCGGUGAAAUGCGUAGAGAUCGGGAGGAACACCAGUGGCGAAGGCGGCUACCUGGACCAGCACUGACACUGAGGCACGAAAGCGUGGGGAGCAAACAGG
rnacentral:rRNA from 1 species